rnacentral:lncRNA from 1 species
UUUAAUCAAUUAAAAAUGAAUAAAAAUAACCUAAUUGAACUAAAAUCUCAAAUAAAUCUCAAAUCAAUUUAAAAAUUGAUGAGAAUAUUUUUCAUAGAUCCAUCAUCAUUCAAAUAGGUUAGGAAAAUAUUUUUGUAUUUUUUGAAUAUCAAAAACUAUUUAAAAUGAAUUAAAAAUAACCAGAAAAGGGAAAAUUCACAAAAAAUAUCAAAUGAUGAAAUAAAAAAUAUUAAAAAUCAGAAAUAGAAACUAGAAAUUAUUUGGAGACUAAUGCAAUUGGUCCCAUAAUUUUUGGAUAAAAAAUGAAAGAGAUAUUGAUUUUUG